rnacentral:lncRNA from 1 species
AUUACUGGGUACACCUACUGAAGACACUUGGCCAAAUAUCACACACCUUCCAGAUUAGAAACAAUAUCCCAUAUAUCAUGUGAGCACAACAUGGCAACAAGUGAUACCCAGACUGAAUAUCAAGGGUAGAGAUCUAUUACAGAGAUUAUUGGUGUGCAAUCCUGUUGACUAUCAGCAGAGGAAGGAUUACAGCAUGGAUAUUUCAGUGAUCUUAGUCUAUCAAUCAAGUUUCCUACUGAUCCUUUCUGAGUGAACAUUCCAAACUCCAAGGACAAAGCCAUCUUAGUUGUUGUAAAUUGUGGUUUUAUAUUGUGCCAUUCAUUUUCAAAUCUACUGUCAGAGGUAAAAACACCUAUUCUUACCAGUUUCUUAAAGUCAUCUAAAAGCAUGUACCAUCAUGUGAAUCUAAGAGGACCAAGUUUGUUGAUACACUAACAGUAUGGUAGAGGUAUAUAGGCUACAGAAUGGUAAUGGUAUGGUGAGGCGUAUAAAAGAACUUGAAGUGUAGCAGCAGAUAAUGAGAUUCCACAACUGGAUAUAGGUUUGCUGAUGCUGAAGAAUUUUACGACUUUUCAAAAUUUACUUUCAAUUUUUCUGGAUUAUAGUAUUAUUGUAUUAGAAGCAUUCUAUUUGAAUAGAGAGGGAAGUAAAAUCAUUUAAGGUGAAGAAGGUGUAAUUCAGCGACGUCUGGUGGAACGCCAAAUGUUACGCUUCGCAACGUCGUGUCAUUACGCUCUAUUAUGAAAUAAAAUAGCGUCAAGCGAUGCGGGAGGGCGAUACACCGUACGUUUCUUUUUUUUUUUUAUCUUCUUUAUUCAUUCUCGGCUGGAUUAUCUUGGUGGUUAAAGGUACCAAAUAAAGACAAAUAAAAAAAUAAAAAAAUCUUUAAAAAAAAUGACUAGUCAACACAUUUUGAAAUAUACUUCUAAGCAUUACAAUAGCGGUGCAGAAUUCGUUUGAAGUCAAAACAUGUGCAGAAAAACGAUUUUUUUUAUAUUUUCUUUGGCUGACAUGGUUGGUUUUUUGACUUACUUUCGUGUUUACCGCUUUUCCGUAAUCAGGGAUAACGUGAUUUUAAAAUUUAUUCAAACGAAUAUCCCGUUUAAAGACGUACCACUUGCACAAAAGAACUGUAUUUUUUGCAUUUCCUUGAUGGUAAUUAUACUUGAUUUGCAUGUAAAAUAUGAGAUGUACAAUAUUUUUAGUUUCAAAAUGACAGUGUCAUAUAUAAGGUCUAUAUUCUUAAUACUAUGCUGAAAAAAAGAUUAACUGAACACAAGUGCGUAUGAAAUUUUGAAAACAUUUUUUUCUGAAGGGCCUAAAUUGUCACCCCGAAAACUUGUAGUGUAGCUAUUUAUUACCUGUAUUAUUAUUAAUGAUUUUCAUGAAGUUUUUGUGAGUUAAAAAAUGUUGAAUUCCCUAAGGCUACGUUUGUAAACAUUAUCUUUGGUGUUUGUAUCUAUUCAUAAAUUAUAGCCUCGUUUCAGAGCAUUCUUCCCGGAAAAAAAAACGAAGAUGCGCGACGGGUUUGUAAGCAGUCGGAAAACAUACUGAGGUGUCUUUUCAAUAUCAUAAUGGGUACAGGCUUGAGAAUUAUGAAAGGCAAAUCAAAAUUCUUAUAUAUUUUGAAGACUGCUGAUGUGUGUAAAUUUUAUUUGUCAAUCAGACAUUUCAUAUCAUUGCUGUAUAACAUACAGCCUUAACAGUUAUCAAACGCAUUGUCAUAAUAAAAAUGAAAAAUUAUGAAAAACUUUAAAAUUUGAGGUUUGUGUUUUGUUUCGUAUUGUAGGUAGAAAUGAUUUACCGACAAUUUAACUGUUAUUGUUUCCAAACUUCCUAACGGUAUCAACUUGCUCAACAUUUAUUACUGACAACAUCUCUGUAGCAGGUUUGUUUCAAUAUGCAGUAGUUCCAAAGGAUAAAUUGUAGCAAAAGCAAGUAAACUGGCGGUCGCUCAGUCC